rnacentral:rRNA from 1 species
CCUACGGGAGGCAUCAGUGGGGAAUAUUGGGCAAUGGAGGAAACUCUGACCCAGCAAUGCCGCGUGAAUGAAGAAGGUCUUCGGAUUGUAAAGUUCUUUAGUCAGGGACGAAGUCCAUGACGGUACCUGAAGACUAAGCUCCGGCUAACUACGUGCCCGCAGCCGCGGUAAUACGUAGGGAGCAAGCGUUGUUCGGAGUGCAUGGGCGUAAAGGGUGCGUAGGCGGUUGUACAAGUUAGAAGUGAAAUCCCCAGGGCUUAACUCGGGUGCUGCUUCUAAAACUGUAGGACUUGAGUGCAGUAGAGGUGAGUGGAAUUCCUAGUGGAGCGGUGGAAUGCGUAGAUAUUAGGAGGAACACCAGAGGCGAAGGCGGCUAACUGGACUGCAACUGACGCUGAGGCACGAAAGUGUGGGGAGCAAACAGGAUGAGAUACCCCAGUAGUC